rnacentral:rRNA from 1 species
CCCGACUGCUAUUUGGGUGAGGAAUAAGCCAGGCGAGUCGAAUGGGAAACCUAAACUUCCCAGGGCAAACUGCUCAGUAACACAUGAUCAACUUACCCUACAGAGAAAAAUAACCUCGGGAAAAUGAGGAUAAUAUUUCAUAAUUGAAAAGGCUUGGAAAAGUUUUUCAACUAAAGGAUAAGAAAAAUGGUUUUUAUUCGCUGUAGGAUAGGAUCGUGCUCGAUUAUGGUUGUUGGUGAGGUAAUGGCUCACCAACCGAUAAUCGAUAGGGGCCGUGAGAGCGGGAGCCCCGAGAUGGGUACUGAGACAACGACCCAGCCUUACGAGGCGCAGCAGGCGCGAAACCUCCGCAAUACACGAAAGUGUGACGGGGUUACCCAAAGUGUUCAAUUAUGAACUGUGGUAGGUGAGUAAUGUUCCCUACUAGAAAGGAGAGGGCAAGGCUGGUGCCAGCCGCCGCGGUAAAACCAGCUCUUCAAGUGGUCGGGAUAAUUAUUGGGCUUAAAGUGUCCGUAGCCGGUUUAGUAAGUUCCUGGUAAAAUCGGGUAGCUUAACUAUCUGUAUGCUAGGAAUACUGCUUUACUAGAGGACGGGAGAGGUCUGAGGUACUACAGGGGUAGGGGUGAAAUCUUAUAAUCCCUGGUAGGACCACCCAGUGGCGAAGGCGUCAGACUGGAACGUGCCUGGCGGUGAGGGACGAAAGCCAGGGGAGCGAACCGGAUUAGAUACCCGGGUAGUCCUGGCCGUAAACGGAUGCAUACUAAGGUGAUGGCAUGGCCAUGAGCCAUGUCAGUGCCGUAGGGAAACCGUUAAGUGUGCCGCCUGGGAAGUACGGUCGCAAGGCUAAAACUUAAAGGAAUUGGCGGGGGAGCACCACAAGGGGUGAAGCCUGCGGUUC